AUAAAUGUUAUGCUACCCUGUACAAGCUCGAUCCUGUCUAAUCUUGGAAGCUAAGCAGGGUUGUGCCUGGUUAGUACUUGGUUGGGAGACCACCUAGGAAGACCAGGUGCUGUAGGUG
rfam:Pteropus alecto contig42674, whole genome shotgun sequence.